UUCGAACUCCUGACCUCAAGUGAUCCGCCUGCCUCGGCCUCCCAAAUUGCUGGGAUUACAGGCGUGAGCCACCGUGCCCGGACAUGUUGUUUUUUAAAGACCAGGUGUUGCUGUGUUAUCUAGGGUGGAGCGAAGCCGCACAAUUAUAGCUCUCUGCGACCUCCAACUGUUGGCUCACAUCAUCCUCCAGCCUUAGUCUCUGAGUACUGAGGCACACCACCAUGCCUUGCUAAUUUUUUUUUUUCCUUUGAGAUGGAGUCUCGCUUUGUCGCCCAGGCUAGAGUGCAAUGGCGUGAUCUCAGCUCACUGCAACCUCGGCCUCCUGGGUUCAAGGGAUUCUCCUGCCUUAACCUCCCAAAUAGCUGGGACUACAGGUGCCUGCCACCAUGCCUCGCUAAUUUUUUUGUAUAUUUGAUAGAGACGGGGUUUCACCAUGUUGGCCAGGCUGGUGUCGAGCUCCUGACCUCAGGAGAUCUGCCCGCCCUGAGCUGCCAAAGUGCUGGGAUUGCAGGCAUGAAGCACUGCGCCCAGCCGAUUUUUAAAAAUUUUUUGUAGAGAUGAGGUCUCACUGUGUUUCCCAGGCUGGUCUCAAACUCCUAGUCUCAAGUAAUUUUUCUACCUCAGCCUCCGAAAGUGCUGGGAUUACAGGUGCGAGCUACUGUGCCUGGCCUGUUAUUCACCUUUUUAUAAAAGGAGCAACCCAUUUUUUCAAGUCAUUACUAGAUGUACAGUAUUGUAGAGAAGUCUAUAUUAUUGCUUUAGAAGCAUGCCAAGCUCGAAGGGCUGGCCUGGACUCUGACCUAUGCUAAAGCCCAUGUAUGCACUUUAUUCUACUUUCAUCUAUACUUUUUCCCAGUGGCACAUGGUAGGGUCGAAAUACAUAUUUGCUGAAUGUAUAAAUGGAUGACUAAUUUUAUGGGUAAAAGUUGGUUGUUUCAAUGAAAAAUGAUCCAGAAGAAGAGGAGGUUACUUCAAACAGAACCUGGCAGUUGGAUAAAUACCUUGAAGUGUCUGUCUCCAUAACCACAUUUUAGCAAGAUUCCCAGUGUUCCUCAGGUAUUGCUGGAUGCUGUGCCAAAACAACAGUUGCUCCAUUGGAUCGAGUAAAGGUUUUAUUACAAGCUCACAAUCACCAUUACAAGCAUUUAGGAGUAUUUUCUGCAUUGCGUGCUGUUCCUCAAAAAGAAGGAUUCCUUGGAUUGUAUAAAGGAAAUGGUGCAAUGAUGAUUCGAAUCUUUCCCUAUGGUGCAAUCCAGUUUAUGGCAUUUGAGCAUUAUAAAACGUUAAUUACUACGAAGCUGGGAAUUUCGGGUCAUGUGCACAGAUUAAUGGCUGGAUCCAUGGCAGGAAGGUGGUUUCUUUGGAUUUUACAGAGGUCUGAUGCCUACUAUUUUAGGAAUGGCUCCAUAUGCAGGUGUUUCAUUUUUUACUUUUGGUACCUUGAAGAGUGUUGGGCUUUCCCAUGCUCCUACCCUUCUUGGCAGACCUUCAUCAGACAAUCCUAAUGUCUUAGUUUUGAAAACUCACGUAAACUUACUUUGUGGUGGUGUUGCUGGAGCAAUAGCGCAGACAAUAUCCUACCCAUUUGAUGUGACUCGUCGGCGAAUGCAAUUAGGAACUGUUCUGCCGGAAUUUGAAAAGUGCCUUACCAUGCGGGAUACUAUGAAGUAUGUCUAUGGACACCAUGGAAUUCGAAAAGGACUCUAUCGUGGUUUAUCUCUUAAUUACAUUCGCUGUAUUCCCUCUCAAGCAGUGGCUUUUACAACAUACGAACUUAUGAAGCAGUUUUUUCACCUCAACUAAAAAAAAAUUAUGGUUGGUUUUUCUUAAUACAUUCUCAGAGGGAGAAAUGAAACAUUACUAUAAUUGUGGGGGGAACAUUACUUGAAUGGGGAUAUUUACCCUGUCACAAGAGCCACUGGUAUUUUAGUACUUGAUUAUUUUUUCUUUAGUCACAAAUCAGAAGUGCUUACCAUACUUUUUGAUGCCAAACAUUAUACCUUAGAACAUGGAAGAAAAUAUUCCUAAGCUGAUGCUGGCUAAACCGCUUUAAAGUUUUAUUUGGAAGUAGAACUAGCUUUAAAACGGGGUUCAAGAGGUUGCCAUUAGCUUUGUCAUGCUCUUCACAGUUUUUAAUUGUUAUCAUGGUUUUUAAAAGACUGACAGUGUUUAUUAUUAUUAAAAUAAACAGGGUUGGUUAUAUUGCAAUAGAAUAA
rnacentral:sRNA from 1 species